GGGCGUGUGGCUCAGUUGGUAGAGCGCCCGCUUAGCAUUAAUACCGCAAUGCGGAAGGUCCCCGGUUCGAUUCCGGGCUCGUCCA